CUGGCUGGCAGCUGCGAAAAUACCCCUGUAGUCAGGGAGUACUUACCCUUUUGUAGCUGUGACUCACUGAAGUUGUCCACAGCCAGAAUACACAGCCCUGCUGCCAGCUUUCCUCUAUGUCUCACCCCUGUUCUAUGGGCUGAAGGGUAAAUGAUGUAUUUGGGGGAAACAAGAAAGAAUGGAGCAUUCUGAGUCCCUAAAGGAGCCUGGCAGGGAGAUUGAGAGGCACAGACAUGGCUGUGUCCAAACUUCCCCAUAAAUGAGUGAUUUUUGAGAGGUAAAAAUUUCCACAGUUUUGUGUACAAGCCUGAAGGUGUUGGGAAUCCCCAGAUCAUCCUGGUGGGGACAUUAAAGGACUGCAUGAAGCUACACAGGAACAUUCAGAAUCUUCCCGAAAUUUUUGGCACAUGCGUAACUGUCACUUGGCAAUUAUGUGCUUUUUCAUAUGAAACAAGCUGCCAGCUGAAGGGCUGUUGGCUGCUGUGUUACAUGUGUUACAUUUACAAAGAUAUUUUAUAAGGUGAUAGGCUGAGCAACAGUUUGCAAGUGCAAGCUGAAUGUCUUUUUUAUAUCUGUGUCUGUGGGAUGCUGUGUAGAAUGAGACACAUUAAGGAUAACUGACACAGAUUGUGUUCUUAAUGUGCCAUCGACCUCUUAAUGCACUCUGAAGUUCUGUAGGUAAAGCAAAGGUGGGAUGGACUUUAUGUGUACUAGAAAGUCAGUUCAGCCACUACAGCAAGACUGAUGUAAAGAACUGCUUAAACCUAAACAAUUUGAAUGAACCAGAGAUGGUUAUAAAUGUUCUUCUGAAUGUGAAUGUGUUUCCAGGCAAUGAGGUAUAGAUUUGGGUGCUCUGUUUAAAAAAGGAAUGAAAAAGCUGCAGAUGGUGGAGGUUUUUUGGUUUGUUUGGUGGGGUUUUUUUUGGGGUGGUUUUGUUUGUUUGUUUGUUAAUUAAAAUGAAUUUUCAUGAGAAAUAUUGAUGCUUCCAAGCCAUUGGGAAAUUUUCUUUCCGAUCAACACUUUCUGUUGUUUUUUUUUUUUUUUCCCAGGCCUCAGACACUGAAAAAUGAGCCCAAAGAGGAAAGGCAGCCCGAGGUAACCCAGCUAAGUCCUGCUGGAGAGGAGAACAGAGAAGAUGACAAGAGAGAUAUGAGGGAGUUCUGGCUUGCCAUGGUGAGUCCAUGCAAAGCAGGAUAUGGUGGACUGGCAAGAAGCCUUUUCAGAAAGCAAAUCUGUUAGCAGUUCUACCUAGAAGAUCUACUGAAAAAAACUGAAACACCACCCCCCAUGCCCCAAGACUUAUUAAUUCAAGUUAACAAUUUCAGAAUAUCAUAAUCUUUUUAAUAAGUCUUUGUGAGGUUUAAUUAUUCAGAUAAUGAGCGACAAAAGGAUCAGGACCUUAGGACUACAAGUUUAGAGGUAUAUGGGUACUAGGGGACAAAUAUCUAAAUACUGGGGUUGGGUAGCUAAGUGGCUAUGUGCCACUUCCCAGUGCUGGUGAAAGACCGAAAUCUCCAUGACAACUACUUACCUGCAGAUGCUGAUAGAUCAAAAAUCUUUGGGCACAGAUGAAAUUCUCAAAAAUCUCUGGGCACAGACAUUCACUGGUCUUUAGCCACUUGCUUUCCAUUCAAGCAGCUUAUUUUCAGAAAUCCAUGGGAAUCUGUGUAGAUGUUCAUUUGCCUGUAUUGCUGUACAGUCUCAGGUCAGUGAGUUACCAAAGAAUCUUGAUCAGUGCAAGUGAGAGAAUUGAAGACUGAGCUUCUGGCAAACCAAACCACGGUUGGGUGGCAAAGGCACCUGCAGAGUAUGCAACAGGACUGCAUCAAACUAGCUGGAGUGGUGUUGAGUGAUGGAACUGAGAAGCCAGACAUGGGAUGACUGGUAGAUGCAAAAAUUCCUCCUGAGAUUCAGCUUCUGCUGCCUGCAUCAGCUCACUGAGGGUUGUAGCUGUUGGCAUGUGGAACGCUGUCAACAAGGUGUCAAAGCAGGAACAACUCAUGACUCAGGUUAUUCUUCAUUGCUGUUGCUGCAGGGUGGCAGUUUUACAAAAGAAACAGCUGAUAGAUCCACUUUUCAUUUUCCAUGGAUGAAUUAUCUUAUUUGUGGGUAAAUUAUACCAGGGGCAAAAAGCCAGCGUGGUGCUGGCAGGAAUUUUCUCAAAUGCAGUGGUGUGAGAACACAGCUUUGUUGCUCCCAAAAACACAGCAAUGGUGCAGCCCUGUUCACUCUGCACCCACCUUACUCUCCCAGCCUUGCUGGCUCCACUCCUGGCUCAGGGUCAAGAAUACUGCUAGUUGGGUGGCACAUUUCUGCAUUGCUGCCUGAGAGCUAACCUGGCAUCCUGGAAAUGAGCAACCCAGGAACUGUGGAGCAGAAACACUGAGUAGGCAGAAAAAGAAAACUAUCUGGUUUGUUAUUAUUCAGGGUAUUCAGCCUCUCAUUAUCAAUUGUAAUGGAGAACUGAGGAAUAUCAAAACAAAACACUGAGGAGGGUACUGACUGUCUCUUUUUAUCACAACAUUUCUGAGUGCUGUUCCCUGUGCUGUUUCCUGACAGAGGCAAUUUCCAGCCACCCAAGAGCUGGCAACACAAAGGGCAGAAACAAGAGGUAGACACAUUGAAUGGCUCUACUUUGGUGCUGGGAUUUGCCACAGGGAAAGAUUUUUUUGCAAAAGAGAUGGCUGUGCAGUCAGGAAGCUACUAAUUUGAAGACAAAAGCUAUUGAACAUGAUUGUUUAGGGGAUGGACAAGUGUAUCUGUAUGUGUUCAUGUCUUCCACCAUUGCUUCUAGUCUGAGGCCUCCACCUCAGUUGGUUUCCUGCUCUUAGUAGUAUUUGUGGUAGUAGUUUUUAAGUUUUACUGUGCUGUAUUUUCAUCUGCAUGUUUGUUAAAGCAGCAUUUAUCAUGAUCCAUUGAAACAAAGCCUGAAAGCAAAAGAAUGCAGAACCUUUAUCUGUCCCCUGAAGAAGCCAGUGAAUAAGACCAGAGAAUCAAAGAGAGUUGAGAAGAUUCUUAAGUUUAUGAAGAAAAUUUAGUUGACCUACUCGGAUAUUACCUUCACUGUGGAAGAUAAAACAGCAGAAAUAGAUAUGAUAUAUGAUACAUAUGAUGUAUGUAGGCAGUGUUAGUUCUGACAGAGGAGAUAAGCUGGCCAAGACUCAGUAAGGAAAUUUGGUAUUUUCAAACAGAGGUAGCAGCAACUUGGAAGACUAGACACUUGCUGAUAGACCUUAAAUAAAGACCCUUAAAUAAAUCUGCACUUUGAGAUCAUCUGUCAUGCAGAAUUUUCAAGGUACACAGUGUUUGUUUAAAGAACAUUGCUUUGGGUAACAGCUGGGUGGUAGCAGCUGAAAAUCGGACUUCACUGAAGGCAAGCUCACUGCACUUAAUCUAAUCCUCAUUAAAAUCUGACUUCAACAAUUUUUAAUAAAGCAUUUUUAA